rnacentral:rRNA from 1 species
AUUGAACGCUGGCGGCAGGCCUAACACAUGCAAGUCGAACGAGUGGCGGACGGGUGAGUAAUGUCUGGGGAACUGCCAGAUGGAGGGGGAUAACUACUGGAAACGGUAGCUAAUACCGCAUACCAUCGGAUGUGCCCAGCUGGGAUUAGCUAGUAGGUGGGGUAACGGCUAACCUAGGCGACGAUCCCUAGCUGGUCUGAGAGGAUGACCAGCCAAACGGGAACGGAGACACGGUCCAGACUCCUCCGGGAGGCAGAAGUGGGGAAUAUUGGACAAUGGGCGCAAGCCUGAUGCAGCCAUUCCGCGGGUAUGAAGAAGGCCUUCGGGUUGGAAAGUACUUUCAGCGAGGAGGCGGUACUCGCAGAAGAAGCACCGGCUAACUCCGUGCCAGCCGCCGCGGUAAUUC